ACGUGAUCUGAGUUCAGACCGGAGUAAUCCAGGUCAGUUUCUAUCUAUAAAGAGAUUUUUCUAGUACGAAAGGACCGAAAAAGCAUGGCCAAUGUUAUUAAUAUGCCAUAAUCAUUAAUUUAUGACUUAACUCAACUGAUAAUUGAACUAGCAUUUAACUCAAGAAUUAAGAGUA
rnacentral:rRNA from 1 species